UACAGAGGGUGCGAGCGUUAAUCGGAAUUACUGGGCGUAAAGCGUGCGUAGGCGGUUAUUUAAGUCGGGUGUGAAAGCCCCGGGCUCAACCUGGGAAUUGCAUUCGAGACUGAAUAGCUAGGGUACGGUAGAGGGAAGCGGAAUUUCCGGUGUAGCGGUGAAAUGCGUAGAUAUCGGAAGGAACAUCAGUGGCGAAAGCGGCUUCCUGGACCAGUACCGACGUUCAGGCACGAAAGCGUGGGGAGCAAACAGG
rnacentral:rRNA from 1 species